CAUAUUCUUGUUAUUUUUAUUUACAUGAUUUAGAUUUAUUUUUAACUUCUGAUUUUUGGGAUGAGGGUUGACCAAUGUCUCAUGGUCAACCUGACCUUUUAUUGGAAUUUUAUUUCCCAUUUUUAAUUUAUUUUGGAUUUAUUUUUGACCUAGUUUGCUUGGUUNAUUUUGGAUUUAUUUUUGACCUAGUUUGCUUGGUUGACUUU
rnacentral:lncRNA from 1 species